rnacentral:lncRNA from 13 species
CUCUACUCCUCCAUACACACAAGCACCUGGUCAGAAUUGAGCAGACCGACGGAACCUUCCUGCCCUGACCCCCAGCAAACAGCGCUAAGAGGGAUUUGCCACGACCUUCCAGGAAGUCAGAAUCUUGCUGUCACCUGGAGUAUGUGGGUCAAGGCAGCAGAUCCUGCACGAAUAGCUUUGUGCCCCCUCCAAGAGCCUCCCUCUGUUGCCAGACUGGAGUGCAGUGGCAUGAUCUUGGCUCACUGCAACCUCUGCCUCCCGGAUUCAAGCGAUCCUCCUGCGCAGCCUACCAAGUAGCUGGGACUACAGGUGUCUCUGCACUUGGGAAGGGAACUGUCUUGUCCAAUAAAUUUCCAGGUGCUGAUGACAGAGACCAACGUGGAAGGAAAGGAGUGAAUUCUCCCUCCAGGUGCCAGAGAUGACAUCGUUUGAGAUAGAUCUCUUGGUUUGCUUUAUGGUCAAUGGAUUUCUUCCACUGGUUUCUGCCUAGUUCAAUGGUGACCUCAGAACGCAGUGACAACAAUGAAAACAGUCCUAUCCUCCAGGGUCUGAUAGAUCAGUUUGCUCCUUUCCUGAUGAGAAGUCUUCAGCUGACUUAGAAAAUCAGUGCCACUGGUCACGAGGAGGACAUGUGACACAUUAUGCAAUCAUUUCUACUACAGAGAAAUCUUCAAAUUAUUCUUACAAAUGGCUAUUUUACCUUUCCAGAGAUAAAAUUCACUAUUUUUGUGAAGUUGGAGAUGUUGUUAAUCAAUGAAACUUUUAAGUGGUUAUGUGGAAUUAAAUAGAGUCACCAAGGUUGUUUUUAUUUUUUGCCAUCCUUCAUCAUGGGCUUUAAGUUAUAUGAAUAAGCUUCCACUUACUAGACAGAUGCUAACUCUGGUCCUUCCCAGGACCCACCUUCUGCUUGAAUAAAUGCAUAGAAAUGCACA